UAGUUUCUAGGCCUUCAUCACAUUCACAUUUUUCGGUCUACAUUGCAAAUAUGCGAUCGCAUUUUGCAUCACCGUUUCUACCUUCUACAACCUUCAUGACCAGUUUGCGCUUCAUUAUGCGGCCCGUAAACACGUUAUGCGAUCACAGAUUGGACCACAUUUCUUGCACUGGACAUUGGCCAUCUAACUUAGGGGUAUGCAUUCGAAU
rnacentral:lncRNA from 1 species